GUCUUUUUGAGUUAUUUUUAAAGUCUGACCUGCCCACUGAAAUUUUAAAUGGCCGCAGUAUUCUAACUGUGCAAAGGUAGCAUAAUCAUUAGUCUUUUAAUUGAAGGCUGGUAUGAACGGUUGGACGAGGUAUAAGCUGUUUCAUAUGAAUUUAUAAUAGAAUUUUAUAUUUUAGUCAAAAAGCUGAAAUGUAGUUAAAAGACGAGAAGACCCUAUAAAUCUUUAUAUUUUGUGUAAUUUAAAUUUUUUUGAUUUGUUUUAUUUUUAUUAUAUUAAAUAUUUUGUUGGGGUGAUGUUAAAAUUUAAUGAACUUUUAAUUGUUUUAAAUCAUUAAUUUAUGAAUUAUUGAUCCGUUAAUAGUGAUUAUAAGAUUAAGUUACUUUAGGGAUAACAGCGUAAUUUUUUUGGAGAGUUCUUAUCGAUAAAAAAGUUUGCGACCUCGAUGU
rnacentral:rRNA from 1 species